rnacentral:tRNA from 1 species
GAGGGGAGGUUAAACCAACGAGAACUGCUAAUUCUUGAAUCUGAGCAUAAAACCUCAGUCCCCUUA